ensembl:lncRNA
GUUAAAUAGUCCAUGAGACAUCAGGGGUUCAACCGUAAUUUUACAAAUACUUUUUGUGCACAAAGAAAACAAUAAUAACAAUUUAUUCAGCAAUUCUUCUCCCUGGGUUGAAUAACUAAGCUGCCUACGGAGGGUCAGAGUGCUCUCAGAUUCCAUCAAAAAUAUCUUAAUUUAUGUUUCGAAGAUGAACAAAGUUAUUACUGCUUUGGAACGACAUGAGGUGUAUGCUGAUACUGGCAUUAGGAGUCCCUAUGGAAAACGGCACAACCUCUGAACUGUAACAAGGAAUAGCAAUGCAGAUGUUGACAAGUGACAAUUAUAUUUGCAAGAUAAUAACCAUCCCAGCUCUCCAUGAAAGCCGUGUUCUCACACAACAGAUCUUGAGAGUGAGUUAGGAGCAGCCAGUUAAGAUGGUUGAAAAUAUGGAUGCACUUCCUUUACUUCUGUGACUCUGGUAAAGACGCGGGGAGACAGGGACAGCCCAAAGUGGAGGAUCUUGUACUGAUAUGCCCGGUCCUUAAAAGCAAACCAAAGAAAUGGUCUAUGCAAGGCAAAAUCGAGAUGUGGAAGUAUGCAUCUUUCUGGUGGAUCACUGUGAACCAUUCUUGGGGGGCAAAUGUAAGUUAGAAUGUGUUUCUUCAUCAACAUCUUGAAUGGGAGCUGGUGCAAGUUCAGAUUCAAGACUUGCAGAUCCAAGAUCAGCCGUAACGCAUGCAUGAGGAAGCAAUGCAUAUGGACCUAUGGCAAAAGGUGGGCAGGUUGGGAUGAGGCUGAGAGUGAGGAAGCCCAAACUGCCAUGCCCAGUAUGACCCAGAGACUCUUUCCUUGAAACGCUGGGUACAGCUAGCUGUAGUGGCUGAACGAAAAAAAAAAAAAAAACUAAGAACUCUUCGCCAGGCCCUCCAUUUUGUACAAUUUAGAGAUGACUUUGAAUCCAAAGUGUGACCCCAAAUGUCAGUAACGUCAAAUGUGACUGACUGAAUGGAAAGUUACUCUAGGCCUUUGAAUUAUUCGAAAAAUAAUUGACACUCUGACACCUGAGGUGUAAUAAUUUGUGUCAUAUAGCACCCAUUCAUUUAUAAAAAACAAAUUGUCAUUACAUCUCAAUUCUAUUCUAUCAGUUCAGUUCACAUUUCACUUCCAUUCUUCCGGGGUAAAUGAAGAAAAUAUAUACACUGUAUUAAUGAAAAAAAAAGAACACAUAUUUGUACUAGAUGCGUGAAAUGAAUGUGGAAAAAAGAAAUACUCCCUAAGUGAACCCUAAGUGAAGUGUUAGGUUAGGCCUACUCUUCCCUACAUUUAUAAAAGGC